rnacentral:tRNA from 7 species
GCAGUGAUGGCCGAGUGGUUAAGGCGUCUGACUAGAAAUCAGAUGGGAUCUUCCCGCGUAGGUUCGAAUCCUACUCACUGCG